rnacentral:lncRNA from 1 species
GGUGAUAAAAAAACAAAGAAACUUUUCUCUUUGUUUUUCUCUUAUUGCCGUAACUAAGGAGGAAAAAAAAGGGGGGGAAGAAGCUAGGCAUUCGGUCUUCUACUUGCUUAAUUAAGGUAAGUUUUAGGUAAAUUCUUUGAGAUUUUAUGAAAUUUUAGUUGAUGGAUAGGUCUUUGAUUGAGCCCAUGUGUGAAUUUUGAUCCUUGUGGUGAUUUGGGCAUUCGGUUAAGGUAGGAAACUUAGAAGAUGAUUUCUAUUCCUUAUGUUUUAUGAGUUGGGAGCUUAAAUCGAAGAUGAAUAAGGGGAAUAUGUGUAUAGAGGUUUUAGUAGUAUGGAAAUUCGGUUAUGAGAGUGUGUGUGUGGUCACUUGCCGAAUGUGGGUGUUAAGGUUAGUAGGUUGGCUUAAUUCUUGUAUUAGAAAUCUAUUUGAGAAAUUAGAUAGGCUUUGAAUGGUUGAAGUAAUGAAAUUAGAAACUCAUGAACUUGAUUUAAAUAUUUUAAAUUUAUGGUAGUUAAAUGGAAUAGAAAGGAUCUAUUCGGCCAUGGAGGUUAAACACAUUGUUAAAUUGUUGAAUAUAUGCUUUGGUUGUUAAUGAAUAUUCGGUCUUGGUAUGAAUCUCAUUAAUAACAUUUAGUUAUUAGAUUUGGUAUAAAAUACUUAUUGAAAUGGUGGAAUUGGAUGACUUACUUAUGGAUUUUAGUUAUGAGAGUCUUUUGUAAGUAGAGCUAGAGGGUUUAAAGGGUGGUGUUUUAAAAUAAACAUGUAUAUGGACCCUAUGUAUGUACCUUGUAAUUUUAUUGUAAACUUUUGGUUUAACUUGUGUCAUAUUAAUUGCUAAAAUACUAGCUUGUGUGGAAAAUUUUGUGUAUGUUUUUAUGUGCCGAAUGUGAGUUAAAAAAAUGGAGCUCACUAUGUGUAUCAUGGUCAACCUUUGAUAACUAAUAUGUCUUGAUUCGUAAAUUGAGUUAAAAGAUUAUAUAUGUUCGAUCUAGCCUAAGCUAGGCUUGACUUGUAACAUAGUAAUGAUUGACUGAACAUAUAUGUGUGAGAUAGUGAGGAUAAUUGUAUUUCUUGCUUUGAUUAAGUGAAGUAUAUGAAGUUGAUAUACUUAAUUUACUCAAUUAAGCUUAAGAGCACAUAGGGACAACUUCGGAUAAGGUGAAAGCUAAAGUGACGAAAUAGCCGACCCGUAACUACUCAGAAAGAUACGAGGUAAGUCUCUAAGUAAUUAACCUAUUUUGAGUUUUGAUUAAUGGAAAACUAUGAAAUAGGUAAAAUUUACCUUAAAAUAGAUGCUGACAGCAGCAGUGAUGUGAAUUUGAAAAAGUCACUAAAAAUAGUAGAAAUGGAAUUAAAUAAUGAAUAAAUUAUGUAAUCGAAUCUUGAUGAGUCUAUUUUCAUAUGAAAGAAACGAAACGACCAUAUGAGCCGUAUUUUAUGAGAUGUUUAAGUUUUCGUGAAACAGGGCCAGAGUUAUUUCUGGAUCCCCUGUUCUGACUUUGGAAAUUCACCAUAAAUUAACCAGAGAUAAUUAUAAGUCAUGCUUUAUAUGUAAAGAUUCCUUUUUGAGUCUAGUUUCAUUAUAAAUAAACGGCAUAAGUAUUGAAGCCCUGUACAGGGAGAUAUCUAAGUUGUAAUGCAUGAAGGUCAGAGUAGUCGAACCCUGAAACAGGGGAUACUUUAACUAAUAAACUGUACUAAUUGGCCCGACCAAAAAUUCUAGAAAAAAAUUAGUAAAUAUAUGUAUGAGUCUAGUUUCAGGAAAAAUUUACAGAAUUGGAUUUCGAGUUUUGGAACUCGAGAUAUGAUUUUUAGAGUGACUGUGAUGCAGUUAGCCAGCUCGUCUGGAAAUUUUAAAAAUGAAUUGUAUGAGCUGUUUAAGUAAGGAAUUAAGUCCGUUAGCACCUCGUGUUCGACUCCGAAAACGGUCUCGGGUACGGGGUGUUACAGUAUGAGCUUUAAGUAAACAAAAGUAUGUGCUGAGAUUUAUAUAUGUAAUUGUGCAUAUUCGGCCAAAAAGGCCUUAUAAAUUGAGAAUAAAUUGUAUUCGGCUAGAUGUACAAACGCAAGGGAAGGAUUGUAUUUUGUCAACUUACGUAUAUGUGAUAAGGUUUAUGUUUGGUUCUUUGCGUACCCAUACUAUAAUUCAAUACAUGCCACGUUGAAAUACUCGAAAGUUUUGAUGCGAUUAUGAAAUAAGGAAUUAAGUUUUUUUUUAUAUAUAUAUAUUCAUGUAUGUGCAUGAAACGAGUACGUUUGAGCAAGUGAUUAUGAUUAUUGAAAGAGUAUAUGUUAUGCUAAAUGAGUAGUGACUCUAUGAAUCUAUUCAUGAUAGAUUAUGAUAUUACUAUGUGCUUCUAAAUAUGGAAACUAAACGUGGUAAAAGUAUUAUGUUUUAGUUUGAUUGAUUGAAUUAGAAGUAGAUAUGAGGUUUCUAGAUGCAAAAGACUAUGUGAAUCAAAUUUGGAAGAAAUAGAUAAACUAUAUAUGCGUGCAUGAGGUUUGAACUAUUUGACGGGAUGGUGAGAUCUCUUGAUAUUGUUAAACGGGGUUUCUGCAAGGUCUAAGACGAUGAGACUUAGUAAUGAAACGACAGUUAAAGAUGUUCAGUACAUUAAGUUGGCCAGGUAUGUAUCAGGUUCUUGUAUGUGAUUUUCAAUUCGGAUUAGAUCAAAAGUAUACAAAGCGAUGCAUAUGUGAAUAAGUGUAUGAAUGUAAAUGUGACCACAGUCCAUGUGAUUAUGAUACAUUUAGCCAAUGUGUUAUGCCAUAAGAAUGUAUUUGAUUAAACUAUAAUAAAGGCAUUUAGAUUGGAGUGUAAUUAUGAGCUAAGUGUGCCUUGUGAGCAUACAAAUAUUUGACCAUUUUGGUCAUUAUCAUGAAAUAAUUUGUGGUAACUAAAUGAUGUGGUUAUUGAAAUUAUAGUUCGUUAUGGAGCUCUAGAUUGACUUCAUUAAUUAGAAGAAUCGAGUGAUAAAUGAUAAUUGAAUUUAAUUCUGCAAAAUUAUCGUUUUACUUAAGACUUACUAAGCUUACUCCGUUUGUCUUUUGUCUCUGUUUUAUAGAUUGUGGACUCUGAUUACCAGCUUGGGGAUCGUCAGCACUUCAUCACACUAUCUACUAUUAUGGAAACCUUGUGAUUUGAAUUUAGUUUAUGGCAUGUAUAGGAUAGAUUAUAGUAAAAUGAUAUCAUAACUAUUGUUUGUAAGCCAUGCGAAUACGGCAUCCUUUGGAAGUCUACUUUUAUAAGUUAUAAGUUUGAUCUUUGUUGGUGUUUAGAAUUUAAUUAAAUGAACAAUCUUUAUUCACG